rnacentral:rRNA from 1 species
CGUGGCGAUACCACCCUGAACGCACCUGAGCUCAUCUGAUCUCGGAAGCUAAGCAGGGUCGGGCCCGGUUAGUACUUGGAUGGGAGUUAUGAAGAGAUUCAGCUCUGUGUCAUUU